rnacentral:rRNA from 1 species
UACGUAGGGGGCUAGCGUUGUCCGGAAUUACUGGGCGUAAAGGGCUCGUAGGCGGCCAACUAAGUCAUACGUGAAAUCCCUCGGCUUAACCGGGGAACUGCGUCUGAUACUGGAUGGCUUGAGUUCGGGAGAGGGAUGCGGAAUUCCAGGUGUAGCGGUGAAAUGCGUAGAUAUCUGGAGGAACACCGGUGGCGAAGGCGGCAUCCUGGACCGAUACUGACGCUGAGGAGCGAAAGCCAGGGGAGCAAACGGG